AGUAAAGCAAGAGGUUCACUGAUGAAUUAUCACUAAGCAAAGAAAAAGAAGCCUUUCUUAGCGAGUUAAGGGCAGGGAGCCAGUAUUUUGCAGCAUACUGAAUGGAGGUAUCCACUUCAAAAGAGAUUCUUCAAUAUGUGAAUGUACUUGAAAAAAUAUAUGUCCAUUACCUAACCACUAGUCAACACCUCUACUCCUGUCAUCAUUUAUCUCCUAAACAAUUGAAAUUAUGUCUUAAC
rnacentral:lncRNA from 1 species